rnacentral:rRNA from 1 species
CGGCGGACGGGUGAGUAAUGCCUAGGAAUCUGCCUGGUAGUGGGGGACAACGUUUCGAAAGGAACGCUAAUACCGCAUACGUCCUACGGGAGAAAGCAGGGGACCUUCGGGCCUUGCGCUAUCAGAUGAGCCUAGGUCGGAUUAGCUAGUUGGUGGGGUAAUGGCUCACCAAGGCGACGAUCCGUAACUGGUCUGAGAGGAUGAUCAGUCACACUGGAACUGAGACACGGUCCAGACUCCUACGGGAGGCAGCAGGA